GCUCAGGAUGAACGCUAGCUACAGGCUUAACACAUGCAAGUCGAGGGGCAGCAUGGUCUUAGCUUGCUAAGGCCGAUGGCGACCGGCGCACGGGUGAGUAACACGUAUCCAACCUGCCGUCUACUCUUGGACAGCCUUCUGAAAGGAAGAUUAAUACAAGAUGGCAUCAUGAGUCCGCAUGUUCACAUGAUUAAAGGUAUUCCGGUAGACGAUGGGGAUGCGUUCCAUUAGAUAGUAGGCGGGGUAACGGCCCACCUAGUCUUCGAUGGAUAGGGGUUCUGAGAGGAAGGUCCCCCACAUUGGAACUGAGACACGGUCCAAACUCCUACGGGAGGCAGCAGUGAGGAAUAUUGGUCAAUGGGCGAGAGCCUGAACCAGCCAAGUAGCGUGAAGGAUGACUGCCCUAUGGGUUGUAAACUUCUUUUAUAAAGGAAUAAAGUCGGGUAUGGAUACCCGUUUGCAUGUACUUUAUGAAUAAGGAUCGGCUAACUCCGUGCCAGCAGCCGCGGUAAUACGGAGGAUCCGAGCGUUAUCCGGAUUUAUUGGGUUUAAAGGGAGCGUAGAUGGAUGUUUAAGUCAGUUGUGAAAGUUUGCGGCUCAACCGUAAAAUUGCAGUUGAUACUGGAUAUCUUGAGUGCAGUUGAGGCAGGCGGAAUUCGUGGUGUAGCGGUGAAAUGCUUAGAUAUCACGAAGAACUCCGAUUGCGAAGGCAGCCUGCUAAGCUGCAACUGACAUUGAGGCUCGAAAGUGUGGGUAUCAAACAGGAUUAGAUACCCUGGUAGUCCACACGGUAAACGAUGAAUACUCGCUGUUUGCGAUAUACGGCAAGCGGCCAAGCGAAAGCGUUAAGUAUUCCACCUGGGGAGUACGCCGGCAACGGUGAAACUCAAAGGAAUUGACGGGGGCCCGCACAAGCGGAGGAACAUGUGGUUUAAUUCGAUGAUACGCGAGGAACCUUACCCGGGCUUAAAUUGCAGAUGAAUUACGGUGAAAGCCGUAAGCCGCAAGGCAUCUGUGAAGGUGCUGCAUGGUUGUCGUCAGCUCGUGCCGUGAGGUGUCGGCUUAAGUGCCAUAACGAGCGCAACCCUUGUUGUCAGUUACUAACAGGUUCCGCUGAGGACUCUGACAAGACUGCCAUCGUAAGAUGUGAGGAAGGUGGGGAUGACGUCAAAUCAGCACGGCCCUUACGUCCGGGGCUACACACGUGUUACAAUGGGGGGUACAGAGGGCCGCUACCACGCGAGUGGAUGCCAAUCCCCAAAACCUCUCUCAGUUCGGACUGGAGUCUGCAACCCGACUCCACGAAGCUGGAUUCGCUAGUAAUCGCGCAUCAGCCACGGCGCGGUGAAUACGUUCCCGGGCCUUGUACACACCGCCCGUCAAGCCAUGGGAGCCGGGGGUACCUGAAGUGCGUAACCGCGAGGAG
rnacentral:rRNA from 1 species